AGUAACCUCCAGAAGGUCUGAGAGAAGAAUGUCAGAGAACUGACUGCAACAAGGGUGCCCUGGAUACUGCAUGCCAGCCCCCUCCAGGAGAGCGUGGCUAGCUACAAUUCUCUGAAACUCUUCCAGAGACUUCUGUGAGUGAAAAUGGUCUAACCUGAAACAAGAGAAAGUUGGAGGACAGAAAAAUUAAGAUCCUUUCGUUUCAGAGAAUACUAGUACCUUUUCGGGGAAGACCUCUGCUGUAGCUAAAAGUCGAAAGGAGGGUCCUUCAAUCUGAAGAUCUAAAGAGCUUUUGCACCCUGAGUCAAUCCUUAAAGUUCAAAUUGUGCCAAUUUCUUAUCAUUUAGAAAAAUAAAAUUUCCACUGCAUUGGAACCAUUCACAGGUGUGAAAUGGUUUAAAAGGCCCUCGGGAGCAGUAAUGGGACCUCAAAACUUUUCAAAGCCAAGAAGGUCCUGGGACAUCCUCCAACUUUUGUAUUUUAAGUGUCUAAACAUUCGGUAACAGAAAAGCCCUGUAAGUCACUAUUAUUCAACUUCUUAUCAAAUUAGAAGGAACAUUGACUUCACACAGAAAUACGAUGUUCUUGGCAAUCACCCUUUUGUGGUGACCCACAGGGCUUUUUUCUUACCAUUUUGUUCUCCUUUGCGCCUAAAGAAUGUUUUUAGCAUUUGGGUACAUUAGGUCAGGAGGCAAUAAAAAGCUUGUUGGGACUAACUUGUGAGGAAACAAUUUGUGACUUUAACAGAGGGAAAGAGAAAGAAGAUUCUCUGAUAUGAACUGGUUAUGUUUAUUCUGCUUAUGACCGUGUUCAUGUCAUAGGGUAAGCAAUAACUCUUUUCUAACAGAAAAGCAUCAUGGGAUUGUGGAUGAGGCAUGGAUUGGUUUCAAUUCUGGCCUCUCACACAUCCUGACUGCAUGACCCUUCCCCAGAAGUUUGUCUACUGAUGAAAACACAGGUCCAGAUCAAGAGGGAAGUAGUGUGGUCUAAAUAAAGCACAGGAGAAAGAGUAUUGGGUUCAAAUCAUGACUGUCUUCUUUACUGCCUUCAUCACCUUGGCCAAGCUACUUAAUCUCUGUACUUUAGUGUCCUUGUCUGUAAAAUAAUAGUGUUGGACUAGAUGAG